AACGAACGCUGGCGGCAUGCCUAACACAUGCAAGUCGAACGAGACCUUCGGGUCUAGUGGCGCACGGGUGCGUAACGCGUGGGAACCUGCCCUUAGGUUCGGAAUAACUCCCCGAAAGGGGUGCUAAUACCGGAUAAUGUCUUAGGACCAAAGAUUUAUCGCCUUUGGAUGGGCCCGCGUUGGAUUAGCUAGUUGGUAGGGUAAAAGCCUACCAAGGCGACGAUCCAUAGCUGGUCUGAGAGGAUGAUCAGCCGCACUGGGACUGAGACACGGCCCAGACUCCUACGGGAGGCAGCAGUGGGGAAUAUUGGACGAUGGGCGAAAGCCUGAUCCAGCAAUGCCGCGUGAGUGAUGAAGGCCUUAGGGUUGUAAAGCUCUUUUACCCGGGAUGAUAAUGACAGUACCGGGAGAAUAAGCUCCGGCUAACUCCGUG
rnacentral:rRNA from 1 species